GAUGAACGCUAGCGGCAGGCCUAACACAUGCAAGUCGAGGGGUAGCAGGAUUAAGCUUGCUUAAUUGCUGACGACCGGCGCACGGGUGCGUAACGCGUAUGCAACCUACCUUAUACUGGGGUAUAGCCCGGAGAAAUUCGGAUUAAUCCCCCAUAGUACUAAUGAAUCGCAUGGUUUAUUAGUUAAAGCAUUGCGGUAUAAGAUGGGCAUGCGUCCUAUUAGCUAGAUGGUGAGGUAACGGCUCACCACGGCUACGAUAGGUAGGGGGCCUGAGAGGAUGAUCCGCCACACUGGGACUGAGACACGGCCCAGACUCCUACGGGAGGCAGCAGUGGGGAAUAUUGGACAAUGGGGGGAACCCUGAUCUAGCCAUGCCGCGUGUGUGAAGAAGGCCUUAUGGUUGUAAAGCACUUUAAGCGAGGAGGAGGCUACUGAGACUAAUACUCUUGGAUAGUGGACGUUACUCGCAGAAUAAGCACCGGCUAACUCUGUGCCAGCAGCCGCCGUAA
rnacentral:rRNA from 1 species